rnacentral:misc_RNA from 1 species
CCGGAAACGAAAAACAAAAAACGGUAAAAAAAAGGGGCCUGAAACGUUUCGAAGGUAUAGCAUUUCAUCACUUAGCACUAAGCUGCACUCGCUAUCAUCAAGUUUAUUGCCCUUUGGCUUCAUUCUCUUGGAGAAUCUGACACUCCAAAUUGCCUCAUAUCUAUUUUCUAUGGUAUUUGAGUGAAUGGCAUCAUCCGUUUUCUCCAGGACUCUAUUGGGUCACCGCUUGAUUCACUCCUCGCUCUCCUUCUCACACAAAACCCAAUUUUUUACUCUCUUUAAUAAGAGACCAUUUCACAUGCGAGCUGGUCCUUCCCAUACAUCAUAUAAGACGUCUGAUUGUGUUCCUCGAGUCAUUGCUUCCUCUAUGGUUGGUUCAAAAGCUAAUUUUUCUACACGAUCUUUAUCUACCAAUGAACCUGUUGUAUCGGUUGAUUGGCUCCAUGCAAAUCUCAGGGAGCCUGAUAUGAAGGUGUUGGAUGCAUCCUGGUACAUGCCAGAUGAACAGAGGAAUCCAAUUCAAGAGUAUCAGGUUGCUCACAUUCCUGGUGCUCUUUUCUUUGAUGUAGAUGGGAUAUCAGAUCGAACAACAAAUGUAAGAUAAGAUCUACUCUCUGUGUCACUUGUUAUGAACAUAUGAAUAUUGCAUUUGCUUCUCUGUGGAAGUGGUUAGAUGAAAUAAUUUUGUGUAAUGCUUCUUUGUUAUAUGCACUUGUCAUCUCUUAUUCUUUCCCUCUGCCUUGGUUUCCAGUAAAAUCCCUAGUAUUGGCAUUAUUAGCAUGAUUCUUCACUAAUUAAUUUUGAGAUGAAUGCAACAUGACUUUUUUUUGUUGCUACUGUUUUGAAUAUGCUUCAAACAGAACGCUUAUAGUCAUCUGCUUUAUGGAGCAACAGUGAAAACUUCUUGCUAGGUCCAUCUAUAUUGUUAUGCUAUGUACAUUAUUGGCUCUUUGCAUUUUGUUUCUCUGAUUAUGUGAGAAUUGUGAAAUUUUAUCAGUUGCCACAUAUGUUGCCUUCUGAGGAAGCUUUUGCAGCUGCUGUUUCUGCUCUUGGAAUUGAGAAUAAGGAUGGAUUGGUUGUUUAUGAUGGCAAGGGAAUCUUUAGUGCAGCUCGUGUCUGGUGGAUGUUUCGAGUAUUUGGGCAUGACAAAGUUUGGGUGUUAGAUGGAGGCCUGCCAAGAUGGCGUGCAUCAGGUUAUGAUGUUGAAUCUAGUGCUUCUGGUGAUGCCAUCUUGAAAGCUAGUGCUGCCAGUGAGGCAAUAGAGAAAGUAUAUCAAGGCCAGGCAAUUGGACCAAUCACAUUUCAGACAAAGUUUCAGCCACAUCUUAUUUGGACUCUUGAGCAGGUUAAGAAAAACAUUGAGGAAAAGUCUCACCAACACAUAGAUGCCCGCUCAAAGGCCAGGUAUUCUUUAUAAUAACAUGCUUGUUCGUUCUAAUAUUUGCUUCCCAUAGUGGCAGUGGUUGCAUCAUCUUAAUACUACAAGUUUUCAGUCAUUUUAAAACUAAAAGCCUGCUUGUCUUGUGCUACAGACAUGGUAAUUUGUUUGAAAUUAUAUAGAAAGAGUAAAGAUUAUUGUGGUCAUUAUAGAUUUAGAGACUGUAGGAUGGGCUUCCAAGGGAAGUAUUGUUGUAAGUGUUGAAAUGGUAAGCAAUACCUAUUAAAUAUAUUAGUCUAACUGAGGGCAUUUAUGAAGGAGCAGCAUAGGCUAUCAUUACUGGGGAUUAGACUUCCCGAUUAUAAUUUGUGUCUUUACUGUCUCACUAUGCUCAUGGACAUAUUUACCAUUCAUGCUGAAGAUGAUGUUCCUUGGCUAUUGGUACAUUCUGUUUGAGGUAUAAAUUAUAGAGAAAGAGAAUAGGAAGCAAUUUGAUGGAGAUUUACUCUUCUUGCAGAUUUGAUGGAACUGCACCAGAGCCUCGAAAGGGAAUAAGAAGCGGUCAUGUACCUGGCAGCAAGUGCAUUCCUUUUCCCCAUAUGUUAGAUGCUUCACAGACCCUCUUAUCAGCUGAUGAACUUAAGAAACGAUUUGAUCAAGGGGGCAUCUCUCUGGAAAGCGCUGUUGUUACUUCAUGUGGGACUGGUGUAACUGCUUGCAUACUUGCUUUGGUAUUUAAACUGUUCUAUGUACUACUGAUGCAUCUCUCAGCUUUAGAAUGUAAUUUGACUCUGAUUCUAGUGCCAUGAAUGAUUGCAUGCAUAUGUACUCACAUACAUUUCAACAAAAAAUGCAUGGAAGAUUGGCAUGAAUGGUAAUAUCUUUUGCUAGUCAUGCUGGAUGUAUGUGCAUGCACAUCUACUCGUGCACACUUGAGCAAAAAAAUACAUAGGAAAUUGGCAACGGAUGGUAAUAUCUUUUACAACUGGAUGUAUGUGUGCAAUUGUCGUUUCCAAACUUCAUGCAUUGUUCCCUCAAUUAAGUGAAUCUUGUUCUGUUCUAGUGCAAAAAUUUAUUGUGUGGAAAUAACCUUCAUGCUUGUGUCUUCAGGGUCUGCAUCGACUUGGGAACCGAGAUGUUGCAGUCUAUGAUGGAUCAUGGACUGAAUGGGGAGCUCAUACUGAUACACCUAUUACCUCUUCAUAAAUCUGGAAGCUUGGCAGCAAUAUGAUGGAUCAUGGACUUAAUGGCAUGAGGCUACGACUCUCUGAUUGUGACAAAAGAGUUUGUAUCUAAAACACUUGGAUGACAAGAUUGCCAAAUUUUCAAAUCAUUUUUGAGUUGCACUUUCUGUCAUGUGAAAAUUUGAUCAUCAUAACCCCAUGUAUCAGAAAACAUUGGCAUCAAAUUAUGAAACAUUUUAUAAAUGGGUGUCCGAGGGAGGAAGAUGAAAUAAAAACUGUUGAUGAAAAUGAAAAUAAGUAGCAUGGAUUCGUUAGUCAUACUGGUGCUGCGCUAAGGGGAUAUGAAUCACAAAAUAGUGUAGGCAUUUGGCUUAUAUUUAUGCUGUUGAUGAAAAUGAAAAUAAGUAGCAUGGAUUCGUUAGUCAUACUGGUGCUGCGCUAAGGGGAUAUGAAUCACAAAAUAGUGUAGGCAUUUGGCUUAUAUUUAUG